GGAGUCUGGGCCGUGUCUCAGUCCCAAUGUGGCCGUUCAUCCUCUCAGACCGGCUACUGAUCGUCGCCUUGGUGAGCCGUUACCCCACCAACUAGCUAAUCAGACGCAGGCCCAUCUCUAAGUGAUAGCUUACAAGUAGAGGCCAUCUUUGGUAAGUCCCUCAUGCGAGUUACUUACAACAUUCGGUAUUAGCAGUCCUUUCGGACUGUUGUCCCCAUCUUAGAGGCAGGUUGCCUACGCGUUACUCACCCGUUUGCCACUAGGCUCAUCUAAGCAAGCUUAAAAUCGCCCCGUUCGACUUGCAUGUGUUAAGCACGCCGCCAGCGUCGUCCUGAGCCACUGAUACAAACUACU
rnacentral:rRNA from 1 species